GUGCAAAGGUAGCAUAAUCAUUAGGUUUUUAAUUGGGAUCUUGUAUGAAUGAUUGGACAAGAGAAGUACUGUCUUUGUAUUGAAACUUGAAUUUAACUUUUAAGUGAAAAGGCUUAAAUAUACUAGAGGGACGAUAAGACCCUAUAAAACUUUACAUUUAUAUUAAAUUUUAUGGAAUUUGAAGAUUAUAAUUAUUAAAUUUAAUUUUUUGUUAUGUUGGGGAGACAAAAGCUAUAAUUAUGUAUAACUGCUUUUUAAGGAAAACAAAAAUAAAUGGAGAAAUUAAAGAUCCUUUAUUGAGAUUGUAAGAUUAAGUUACUUUAGGGAUAACAGCGUUAUUUUUUUUGAGAGUUCAUAUUGAAAAAAGAGAUUGCGACCUCGAUGUUGAAUUAAAAUAUCUUU
rnacentral:rRNA from 1 species